rnacentral:rRNA from 1 species
UACGAAGGGGGCUAGCGUUGCUCGGAAUUACUGGGCGUAAAGCGUGCGCAGGCGGUUUUGUAAGUCUGUCGUGAAAUCCCCGGGCUCAACCUGGGAAUUGCGAUGGAGACUGCAAGGCUGGAGUCUGGCAGAGGGGGGUAGAAUUCCACGUGUAGCAGUGAAAUGCGUAGAGAUGUGGAGGAACACCGAUGGCGAAGGCAGCCCCCUGGGUCAAGAUUGACGCUCAUGCACGAAAGCGUGGGGAGCAAACAGGAUUACGA